AGACAGCAGUAGCCACGGUAAAACGAAGGGGGCUAGCGUUGCUCGGAAUGACUGGGCGUAAAGGGCGCGUAGGCGGAUUGCGCAGUCAGAUGUGAAAUUCCUGGGCUUAACCUGGGGGCUGCAUUUGAGACGCGUAGUCUAGAGUGUGAAAGAGGGUCGUGGAAUUCCCAGUGUAGAGGUGAAAUUCGUAGAUAUUGGGAAGAACACCGGUGGCGAAGGCGGCGACCUGGUUCAUAACUGACGCUGAGGCGCGAAAGCGUGGGGAGCAAACAGGAUUAGAUACCCCCGUAGUCCCUGUCUCUUAUAC
rnacentral:rRNA from 1 species